rnacentral:rRNA from 1 species
AAUAUUUGUCUAGCGGCGGAUGGGUGAGUAACGCGUGGGCAACCUGCCCUAUACAGGGGGAUAACAAUGGGAAACCAUUGCUAAUACCCCAUAACACCUAAUGGUGGCAUCACCAUUAGGUCAAAGAAAUUCGGUAUAGGAUGGGCCCGCGUCUGAUUAGCUAGUUGGUAAGGUAACGGCUUACCAAGGCGACGAUCAGUAGCCGGCCUGAGAGGGUGAACGGCCACACUGGAACUGAGAUACGGCCCAGACUCCUACGGGAGGCAGCAGUGGGGAAUAUUGGGCAAUGGGGGGAACCCUGACCCAGCGACGCCGCGUGAAGGACGAAGGCUUUCGGGUUGUAAACUUCUUUGGGGAGGGACGAAAUUGACGGUACCUCCAGAACAAGCCACGGCUAACUACGUGCCAGCAGCCGCGGUAAUACGUAGGUGGCAAGCGUUAUCCGGAUUCACUGGGCGUAAAGCGCGUGUAGGUGGUUCUGUAAGUAGGGCGUGAAAGCUCCCGGCUCAACUGGGAGAGGCCGUAUUAAACUGCAGAGCUAGAGGAUGGUAGAGGGAGGUGGAAUUCCAGGUGUAGUGGUGAAAUGCGCAGAUAUCUGGAGGAACACCAGUGGCGAAGGCGGCCUCCUGGACCAUUCCUGACACUCAGACGCGAAAGCUAGGGUAGCAAACGGAAUGAGAGACUCCGGUAGUCCUAGCCCUAAACGAUGCAGACUAGGCGUCGGCGGUUUAAUCACCGUCGGUGUCCAAGCUAACGCGAUAAGUCUGCCGCCUGAGGACUACGGCCGCAAGGCUAAAACUCAAAGGAAUUGACGGGUCCCCGCACAAGCAGCGGAGCGUGUGGUUUAAUUCGAUGCUCCGCGAAGAACCUUACCUGGGUUUGACAUAACAGUGGUAGAGAAGUGAAAACGGAUCGACCCUUCGGGGAGCUGUUACAGGUGUUGCAUGCCUGUCGUCAGCUCGUGUCGUGAGAUGUUCGGUUAAGUCCGCUAACGAGCGCAAUCCGCGCUGUGUGUUACAAGUGUCACACAGUACCGCCGGUAUUAAGUCGGAGGAAGGUGCGGAUGACGUCAAGUCAGCAUGACCUUUAUAUCCAGGGCUACACACACGCUACAAUGGUCAGAACAAUAGGUUGCCAAGCCGCAAGGCGGAGCCAAUCCUCCAAAUCUGGCCUCAGUUCAGAUUGCAGGCUGCAACUCGCCUGCAUGAAGUCGGAGUUGCUAGUAACCGCAGGUCAGCAUACUGCGGUGAAAACAAGCCCGGGGAUUGCACUCACCGCCCGUCAA